rnacentral:rRNA from 1 species
GUGAACGCUGGCGGUAGGCCUAACACAUGCAAGUCGAACGGCAGCACAGUAAGAGCUUGCUCUUACGGGUGGCGAGUGGCGGACGGGUGAGGAAUACAUCGGAAUCUACUUUUUCGUGGGGGAUAACGUAGGGAAACUUACGCUAAUACCGCAUACGACCUACGGGUGAAAGCAGGGGAUCUUCGGACCUUGCGCGAUUGAAUGAGCUGAUGUCGGAUUAGCUAGUUGGCGGGGUAAAGGCCCACCAAGGCGACGAUCCGUAGCUGGUCUGAGAGGAUGAUCAGGCACACUGGAACUGAGACACGGUGCAGACACCUACGGGAGGCAGCUGUGGGGAGUAUGUGACAGGGGGCGCAAGCCUGAUCCAGCCAUACCGCGUGGAAGAAGAAGGACUUCGGGUUGUAAAGGUCUGUUGUUGGGAAAGAAAAGCAGCACGGUAAUACCGCGCUGUUCUGGGGGGACCAAAAGAAUAAACGAGAACUAGGUUCGCU